AUAACAUUCCAGAUGAGUUGUCAUUCCAGAUCUAGAGCAGAGCCCAACUGGGGAAGUACCUCCACCUUACAGAAAACCGCAGCCAAAUAACACUAGACCCUACUCAUAGUGUUGUGUUCCUGCUGGUGAGUAAGGUUGCCAGAGCUCAACGAGGGGGGGCGGGUUUAGGUUCGGCAACGCACAUGUAACUCCUCUGGAGUUGCAGGCGUACAUAGGCUACGGGGACUACUUACCAUCAGGCGGGCCGUAUGCUUGUUUGUCACCGACGUAGUAUAAAAAAAAAUAGAGAUGUGGAAUUACAAAACGACAUUUUAUCUUGCAUUUUAUCCGCGUUCCUCAUUAAAGAGGGGAAGUAUUACAUCGGCUUCCUAUAUUUAGUUUCAGCUUUUUAAGUUUAUAAAUAACACGGUAUUUGUUCGACCUAAUAAGCUUAAUAAGGCCUGUAUGGUGGGAUGACUGUAAUUAUGAUAUAUAAUAAAAAAUAAUUCAGCCUAUAUACGUCCUACUGCUGGGCACAGGCCUCCUCUCAUGCGCGAGAGGGUUUGAGCUAUAGUCCCCAUGCUAGCCCAAUGCGACCGAAAAGCUAGUGGUAAAUAUCAAAUGAUAUUUCGUACAUAAAGUUCCGAGUUCCGAAGAACUCAUUGGUACGAGCCAGGAUUUGAACCUUCGACCUCUGGAUUGAAAAUUGGACGUCAUAUCCACUCAGCCACCAUAGCUUCUGAUAUAUAGGUAUAUAUAAGUACUUAUAUACACAGAAAAUAUAUAUAACUAAGGAGCAAUACUUGUCAUAGAAACACAAAUAAUGCCCUUACCAAAAUUCGAACUCGUGAUAUCCUGAUUGGUAGGCAGGUUCACUACCGACUAUAGGAGAUGCAAACCAAACUGACGCCCGGGGUCAUAUUACUAUCUCUCUCACUCUACCUAUAACCACGCGAGUGUGAAUGAGAAGUUUUAAGACCCCGGUCGUCAGAUUGGUUUGCGGCUACAGGCUAGGAAGUCGACAUAAGUUAAAAUAGGUACAGUCACGUCUGAAAAUAUCUAUACGGACAAAGUGCCUAAAAUAUGUAUCACGACCUUAUUUCCCAUAUAUUAUUGUUGGCACUUUGUCCGUGUAGAUAUUUUCAGACGUGACUACAUACAAAUAUAAAUGUUUUUUAUACUACGCCGGGGGCAAACAAGCAUACGGCCCGUCUGAUGGUAAGCAGUCUCCGUAGCCUAUUUAUUCCUGCAACUCCAGAAACAUUCAUUUGUUUAUAAUUGGUUUAUUUUCAAUUCAGGAGAUAAUAAUAUAACAUGAAGUUCCGGCUGGGAGGCUUAUUCUAAUUGUACCUAAUAACUGGUUCCGAAUUUGACCUGGAUGUGUCAUGGAAGUUAUGGAUAUGAUCUGUCAGCCAUAAGCAGUGACAUUUCUUAUGGAAAAACCUCCGAUUUGCCACCAAUAUAGUUAUAUCCAGAAAAAUGCUCAACGGCCUAAAAUCUCUUAACAAGUGGGUGUUUAACAUCCACGUACCCAAAGCUCGCUUAAAGUGCCUCCAAUGUGUCACGGCAACAGCUUACAAAGGCCUUUGUACGUCACAGGACAUUACGGUACCAGUUUCUUUGUUAUUAAACUAUAGGGAUAAAUGUCACCAGCACCCGUGGCCCGUCGAGGGAUACAAGGGUUGAAAAGUGGUAUGUUUUAUUACUUUGAUGUUUUAAGGAAAGUGUUAUAUCAUUUAUAUAAUAAGCCAUAAUGUGACAUGCUUAAUCCUCCUGUAACUUCAGUUAUAAUUUAAGUUUUGGUUUUGAAUUUGUUUUAUUUAACCUAUGUCUAUUAUUGUUACUUAGUAAACCAGUUAGGAAGAGCGGUGUCACUUGAGAGAGUUGAACGUUUGUGUGUCGUUCAAGUUUUAUUUUAAGCUACGGACUUGAAACUUCAUGAAAAGGUAUUAUAUUAAAAUAGAAGAAAAGUACAUUCAGUGUUUUUGGAAAUUCAUCUCGUAACGGGGUUAAAUAGAGGAUGAAAGUUUGUAGGUAUGGGGAUGAAGUUUUAUUUUGAGUUAAUACAUUUAUUUGCAUAAUUUUUUUUUUUUUUGCAUAUUUUUUUAGAAAAUAAAUAAAUAUUAUAGGGACAUUCUUACACAAAAGAAGGCUUAUUUGCAAAUCCCACGUAUUAACGCUUGCAGCUUCAGUGUUGCCACCCUUCCCACUAUACCCUCCUUUUAUAAAGGGCCUCAUACAAAAACCAUGCACUGAACAAUCUGAACAUGCAUCUAAUGCGGGCAGUACUUUAUUUUCCUCAUACGUAACACUGAGCUGAACACAUUACGCGCCAGCGCGCGACAAAGGCUCUUUUUUAUAAAACGGCGCCCAUUGUAUUUUCCUACGCGUCUGCGGUUAUAAUAAAAAUCCUGCUCGUAUUAUUAAUGAACGAGAACACUUUGAUAGCCUCCGGUACACAUCUGAGUGUAGUAAAUAAAUAUUUUGUAGGAGUUUCUCUCAAAGCUGAAUAUGCCAAUACAUUGAGAAUAAAAUGUUAUCAUUGGGCCAAUACAUCUUGUCAUACAUCCGUACAUUUCUCGGACCAGCUUUACAUAUAUAUUUAUCACAAUUAAUUAAUCAUUUCGUCGCACUCUGGUAGAUAAUAGUCCUCCUCAUCGUUUUCGAUGACGGCGACCCUAAAUAAACAUUAUGGACGUUGUCUAGUAUGAGCCCUAAUGUGGCUGGCCAGGCCGAACUUGCUCUUAAAUAGUCUCCAUUAUAAGACAAAACUUCGUGUUAAUUCGUACCGGUGGCCAGGGAUCGGAAACCGGUAUUUUUUGUAUGGGAACGAAAACGGUAUUUUUUCGUUCUUUGUUAAUUACUUCAUUUCUAAUUAGGCAAUCUAAUAAUACGAAGUCGUUAUCUGAAAACACAACUGAGUCCUACAUUUACAGUAUAAAAUAAACCGAAAUAUAUGGUUAUUUCGAUGUUUUUGCAAAAAACCGGUUCCGAUCCCUGCCGGUGGCGCUACGAGCACGCUCUUUGAAAAAUUUAAAGUGGCUAAAAGAAAAAAAAAAGUCUUUAGCUGAAACGUCUGCAAAUGAUGCCAUCUAACAAUAGUAACGAUUAAUUUACUAUAAAUAAUAGCCCACAACGACCUCCUUUACAACUUUCGUUUUGCUUGUAAAACCUCACAAACAAUACUGUUCAACAAAUUAGCGAGUUAGUAACUAGGACCGGCCGGCCCAUGUCAUUCAAAUGGGAAUAAUUGAAACAUUCAACAGCCUCCGGGCAAUAUUUGAAAAUUAAGAAUUGAAUCGAAAUUAUUGGAACUGGGAGGCCAAUUCAAACUUACAUUUGGCAUUAAAUAAUGUCAUUUUGUUUUCAUUCAUCAUGCGUCUCGCUCGCGCAAAUACAUGUACGGACAAGUCCAAGCGAAAUGAACGCGCACAAGGAUCGGAACCGGUUUAUAAAAUACCGGUAAAUGCCGGGUUACUACGGUUUUCCUCCGAAUUUUUAUAAGAAUGCGAACGUUUUAAGAAGUUUAUUGCAACCUAAAACCGGUUUAUUCAACGAGCGGCGAAACGGCCGGCCGGCCUGAUGGUGUGCCAUCUAAACAUAGACACCGACGUAGGAAGAAACCGGUUUUUAUUGUUAUAAACCGGUUAAUUUGAAAAGAACUGUUCUCAUAAAACCGGUUUAAAAAAAACGGUUUUUCGAGCAAAACCGAAAUUAAAAGGUUUUGCAGUUUGGAAAUUUAACCGGUUUCCGAGCCUUGAAAGCGCAAAUGAUAUCUGAAUGACAUCACUUAGAUAUCUGAAUGACAUCACUUAGAUAUCGUUUGUUUUGAUGUCAAGUGUACGCUCGAAUUACAUAUUAGCAUCGCUCAAUUCGGACGGUAAAUAAAUAAUUCGCAGGCUACUUUAUCUCGUAAUAAAUACGAUACCCCACAUUCAAUCGUCUUUAAAAUUUUAUUUGCUGAAAAUAAAGUUAGUUUACUUCCUUUGUGUUCGAAAUGAAAAGUAGAGUGUUUAACUCGGGUGAAAAGCACUAUUUCAGUCUCGGACUAUUGGCGCUCUUUUUGCGUUCGAGCGCCAAACUACCUCGUCAGAAAUGGGUGCCUUUGAUCCCUUAAUUAACAAUCUACUAUUAAAUGAACGCGAUUUUGAAAAUAAAAUAAAUAAUCCAAAUAAAUUAAUCAAAACAAAUUAUUGCAUGACAUGUAAUUAUGAUUUGGAAAAUAAAGUCUUUUUUUUAUAAUGCGACGUCAGGUGACAUCCGAACGUCACCUUAAUCGUGUGGGCUUCGUUUCAUACGUCUGCCAAUAUUUGUUUUGUAUUACGCCCGAGCGUCACCCUUUAUUUACGCCCCAAGGCUUGUUCACGAUAAAAAGUAGCCACGGGUGGAUAAUCUUACAUAUAUGAAAAUUUUGGGCAGUAUAAAAGUCACUAUUCGUAUGAAUUUCAUUUUCGUUACUUCAUAAGCUUCGCAGUCUACAUAUAUCAGAUGUUUUAUAGCCUAGGUACUUUUAAACAAUUUAAACCCUUUAACGUAACAUUACCCAAGCUGCCCAGGACCGAAGUCAGUGGAAGAAAAUGGCUCGAGCCCUACACCCCAGCAGGGGGUAACAAGAUGGAAAGAAGAACAAUGACGAAAGUAACUCUGACAAGAUAUUACAUUUCUGGCCAUUAAGACAAUUUCUAACAAGUCGUCGCACCGGAGGCACCUGGGCACUUAAAAUGUCACCGAAUAAACUUUAUCCCGCCAUCUUGUGACAGUAGAAAUGCUUUUUUACUUAUUUUCAAAUUAAAUGUCAACGGAAUUUUAAA